AACAAGGUUUCUAUGUCUAACAUUUGACCGUCUAUCUUAUUUGAAUUUUUCUAGAUUAGUAUUUUUGUUGUUAUUAGAUGAUAAAACAUGAAUAGUACUUUAUGCGUGACUUAUUUUUUAAAAAAUUUUUAAAUAAGACGGACGGUCAAAUAUUGGACACGAAAACCCACGACUGCACUUAAA
rnacentral:pre_miRNA from 1 species